GUGAGUGGCCAGGGUGGGGCUG
rnacentral:miRNA from 1 species